AAUAGAUACCCAGGUAGUCCAUGCCGUAAACGUUGGGCACUAGGUGUGGGGGACAUUCCACGUUUUUCCGCGCCGUAGCUAACGCAUUAAGUGCCCCGCCUGGGGAGUACGGCCGCAAGGCUAAAACUCAAAGGAAUUGACGGGGGCCCGCACAAGCGGCGGAGCAUGCGGAUUAAUUCGAUGCAACGCGAAGAACCUUACCAAGGCUUGACAUGAACCGGAAAGAUCUGGAAACAGGUCCCCCACUUGUGGUCGGUUUACAGGUGGUGCAUGGUUGUCGUCAGCUCGUGUCGUGAGAUGUUGGGUUAAGUCCCGCAACGAGCGCAACCCUCGUUCUAUGUUGCCAGCACGUGAUGGUGGGGACUCAUAGGAGACUGCCGGGGUCAACUCGGAGGAAGGUGGGGACGACGUCAAAGUCAUCAUGCCCCUUAUGUCUUGGGCUUCACGCAUGCUACAAUGGCCGGUACAAAGGGUUGCGAUACUGUGAGGUGGAGCUAAUCCCAAAAAGCCGGUCUCAGUUCGGAUUGGGGUCUGCAUGACCCCC
rnacentral:rRNA from 1 species